rnacentral:lncRNA from 1 species
UAUUUGAGUCCCGCCGGUUGUUUUUUCGCAGGAUGCGACAGCUGGCGACUCUGCUGGGGAACUCUGCGGAUGUUGACCUGUGCUGGUCCAUCUUCCCUAUGCGAGUCUCUCCUAGCGUUCUAGGAUAGUUUAGGUUGCUUGUGUUGCUGUAUUUAUUGCAUUUAUUAUUCUGGCUGUGUAUAUAUUUGCAUAAAUAUUUG